CAGUCGCCGCGGUAAUACGAAGGGGGCUAGCGUUGUUCGGAAUUACUGGGCGUAAAGGGCGCGUAGGCGGCCAUUCAAGUUAGAUGUGAAAGCCCUGGGCUCAACCUAGGAAUUGCAUUUGAUACUGUUUGGCUUGAGUUCGGGAGAGGUGAGUGGAAUUCCCAGUGUAGAGGUGAAAUUCGUAGAUAUUGGGAAGAACACCAGUGGCGAAGGCGGCUCACUGGACCGACACUGACGCUGAGGCGCGAAAGCGUGGGGAGCAAACAGGAUUAGAUACCCCAGUAGUCCCUGUCUCUUAUAA
rnacentral:rRNA from 1 species